AAUAUAUUUUUUAAUUGUUGCAAUAGAUGCGACGAAAUAUAAUAAUACGUGCUGUAAUUGAUCUAUUUUGCAUCAAACUUAAACUACGAAUUUGCAUUUUUUUAAAUUUGUCAAUUAUUUUUGAAUUUUAGUAUAGACAUUAGUUAGUGAAACACAUUUUCCUCUCCCAUAAGUCAUUGAUACAAUAUUGCAAUGCGUAAUUUAGAAGUAAUUUGUAAUUUAAAAUAUGGCAUCAAACAAAAGAUAUUGUCUUUUAAAUAUAUAUGUAUAUAUUUAUUUGCGCGCCCAAUCAAAGAUGUAAUACUGAUAAAUAUCAGCAUGCCUAUAUUACAUGAUUAGACGUACUACAAGAAUAAACUUUUUACCUGAGUUAAACAACAAGUAGAUGAAUGACAGAUAAGUAAUGAAUAAGAGAUACAGUCAGGAACACGUGCACAUGCUGCAUGCUAUUUCACAUCGACGUGCACGCAUCAGUCGCACAAGAUCUACUAAGUCCUGAGGCAUCGAGAAGGUAUAGCUGCCUAUAGCGCUGGCGUUUACAUAAUUGGAGAGCGAAAUAUGUCUAUAUAUUUUCGUUAUUACGCUCAAUUUACUUAUUUCGUGAAAUGUGUUUUAAGUAUAGCAAAUAUCGGUACUUCCACAUUGUUCGGUGCAUCUACAGUAACAUCUAUUUUUCAUUGUAUAAUAAAGGAAAAUGAUAGCAAAGUAUAAAAUUAUUCUUUCUCUUGUCUCGUCUUAAUAAUAGUAAAGAGACACUAGAAGUUUGAUAAAAAAGAAAACCUUUAGUAUAUUUGCCGGAACAUUUGUCAACCAUUUUUCUCACAAAGCGUCUCCGUUCGUCGCGCAGAAUGGUAUUUGUAGGUGAACGCUGUUAUAAGAUUCAUCGAAUUAUGUUUAUGAUUAUGGGAUUCUGGCCGUAUCAGAAACCAUUUAUCUGGCGAAUGCAAGCAGUUUUCUUUUUCAGUGCAUAUUGCUGCAUUAUAUUUUCAAAGUUUGCGGCCUUUUUUACGACAACAUGUAACAUGGACUGUAUCUUAAAAAAAUUUACUUAUAUUUGUGUAACUUCUUGUUUUGUUUUGUGUUACUGUUCUUUCUAUUGCAAUUCUGAAUUUAUAAAGCAAGCGUUGAAACAUAUGCAAUUAGAUUGGAAAAUGUUUGAAAAUAGUGACACAAUUAAAAUAUUUGAAGAAUAUCUCUUCCUAUCUUAUAUUUUCGCAUUAUUUGCGAUUAUGAUUGUUCCUACAUGUGCAUCCGCGCUUAUGGCUAUUGAAUGUAAACCUGUCAUUCUUGAUGCUAUUAUACCGUUGAAUACAUCCCGACCACGUAUAAUUGAAGUUGAUUAUGAAUUGUUUCUUGAUAAAGAGGAAUAUUUCUUUUUGUAUGUUAUGCAUGAGGUACUAGGAACGACAAUUGGCUUUUACUCGAUACUGGUAGUUGCAACAUGUUGCGUUUUGAUUGUGAGACACAGCUGCGCAACACAUAAAAUUGCAAGGGUAGUUUACAUAAUGAGGACGCCGUGGCGUAGUUGGUUAGUGCAGAGAUCGCUACUCAAAAGACUCGAGUUCAAAUUCCGCCAUACCAUGAUGGAUUUUUACGGACGGUCCUCCCUCGGAAGGCAAUAGCAAACCACCGAGGUACUUUGCCAUGAGCAUUCCUCAAAAAUAGAAGUGCUUUCGAGAACUUCUGGCGGUUCGGAAUCCGCCUAAAAAUAUAGGUCCUCUAUGCUCGUGUAUAAUCUGCACAUCGCGAGUAUAGAAGAGGAAUCACCACGCUCUGACAAAGAGCAAUAGGACUAAGAAGAAGUGUAUAUAAUAUCUUUAUUAACAAUGAUGCUACGGUCGAUUCAUAUAAAUCGCUUUCAGUUGUAUAAUACAAAAUACGGCGAUUGCCCACACGCUGCAAAUUCCUGUUACUCAAGAGAUACAAUUUAUACAUCGAAGCAUUUCUUUUUCUGUUUACCUUCACCGCAGAACUUUGAAGUUAGUUUUCAUACAAGUUAAUAUUUUUCUUAUUCAUCGUAUUAAUUGUUAACAUUCACCUUUGUCUGCAUUUGCAGUCAGGAAUUUAUAGUUUUGAAAAUAAUUAGACGUAAUGUUACUAACUAUAUAUUUUGUUACAUUACAGGUUAAUGAAAGACUUCAUGCAUGCGGUCAAUUUGUGGUAUUUUCCAUUAGUUGUAAUUUGCAUACUGUGUUUAAGUUGCCUUCUACUUCGCCUCUACAAUGCUAUAACAGACACCAAUGAUUUGCAUAAUACUUUAGUGUGCUGUGUGCUUUUGUAUACUUGUUUCAUGUAUAUGUUUAUUACAAGUUUUCUUGUACAAUCAUAUUCUGAACACAGUAUAUUGAUAUUAAAAUCUACGUAAGUAAUACUAAUAGUAAUAAUAACUAAUUCCGUAUAUUUUAUGAUAUAAAUAGUAUAUCAGAUAAUUUGUUUCUAAUUCGUUUUUACACUAAUACUUAUUCGUGCAAAUAUAAAUAAUAAUAUACAGGGUGUCUCACGUAAAAUGUCCAAUCCCUCUGCUGCAAGUAGAUCUCAUUAAGGUGAAUUAAAAAGUCUAUACCAUUUUGCAAUUAACCACAUAAAUUUCGAGUAAUUAAGUAAAGAAAGUUCGCUAAUUCAGCGAACGCGAUUGGCAGCGAGGGAAGUAGGUAGGCGUGAAUGACACGGCUAGUCGCGCGCGCGACGCGAUACCAGCGAGUAUCGGAUUACAGCGGCAGGCGAGACGACUUUUUAUGAUGUAUAAGAAACGGCUAGUCGCGCGCGCAAGACGCGAUAACAGCGAGUAUCGGAUUACAG
rnacentral:misc_RNA from 1 species